AUCCAGUUGACGAGUCCCAAAUAGAACGAAAUGCGCGUCCUGGAU
rnacentral:hammerhead_ribozyme from 1 species